UACAGAGGGUGCGAGCGUUGUCCGGAAUCACUGGGCGUAAAGGGCGCGUAGGUGGCGCCCCAAGUCCGUGGUGAAAGCUCGAUGCUCAACAUCGAGUCGGCCACGGAAACUGGGGGGCUCGAGCACUGUAGAGGCAGAUGGAAUUCCGGGGUGUAGCGGUGGAAUGCGUAGAGAUCCGGAAGAACACCGGUGGCGAAGGCGGUCUGCUGGGCAGUAGCUGACACUGAGGCGCGACAGCGUGGGGAGCAAACAGGG
rnacentral:rRNA from 1 species